UACGAAGGGGGCUAGCGUUGCUCGGAAUCACUGGGCGUAAAGGGUGCGUAGGCGGGUCUUUAAGUCAGGGGUGAAAUCCUGGAGCUCAACUCCAGAACUGCCUUUGAUACUGAGGAUCUUGAGUUCGGGAGAGGUGAGUGGAACUGCGAGUGUAGAGGUGAAAUUCGUAGAUAUUCGCAAGAACACCAGUGGCGAAGGCGGCUCACUGGCCCGAUACUGACGCUGAUGCACGAAAAGCGUGGGGAGCAAACAGG
rnacentral:rRNA from 1 species